CACUCCAAUGGUGAUGACUUUUUCCACUGAGAAAUUCCUAUAUUCCUGUGAAAUCUCACUGCCACUGUGUGGCUCCUCGGUGCUGAGAGGGGCCUGGUGCUGGAGAAGGUCUGGGAUGGCUGGGAAGUCUUCCCCAACCUCCCAAUUAGUUGAAGGCACCCAAGGUAAG